AUGGCUUCCCACCCGCCGCCGCCGCCGCCGCCGCCGGAGCACCCUAUCCCACCCGCUCCCACCACCAUAAGUGCCCUCGACGACGACCAGCUCCGAGAGAUCUUCCUCCGCCUCCCGGACCUCUCCAGCCUCGCCUCCGCCGCCUUCACCUGCCGCACCUUCCUCGGCGCCGUCCGUUCGUCCCGCGCCUUUCGCCGCAGCUUCCGUGCGCUCCACGCGCCCCCGCUCCUCGCUCUCUUCCUCACACCCUACAUGCGCACGGUACCUACCUUCCCCGCCUCACGCCCCCCCACUGCCGCCAGAUUCAGUCCCCUCCGAGACGACGACGCUUCCGAGUGGGGGGUCGAUUUCUCCGAUCCUUCGAUUGCGUACGAUGAAGGCUUCAUCGCUCUCCAGCAUCGGAGCACCAAGCAGGAAGUUUACUACAACCCCCAAACGAUGGCUCUGUUUCUCCACCCCCAGGAGCACCAUGACAUGCCCGACGGCACCACCCUUGAGUUCCACACACUCUCCCCCGGAGAGGAUCAGAGGCCGCCCCGUGUGGUCUCUGUCCGUCAUGACUACUCGCGGCCUUGGGCACGCGUCGCCGUCUUCUCAUCGGACACCAUGGAGUGGCAGAUUUUCCCGGAGACGGCCGCGCUACUGCCUGAGGGAUUCAGGCGUACAACCCGCACGCUGGUGGAUGGGUUUAUCUGUUGGCAAUGCGAGUCUGUGGGCGGGGCAUCUCUCAGCGAGUACAUUUUGGUGCUCAACACAGAUACCUUUCAGUUCUCUCUAAUAGAUCUGCCGCCGCCCUUGAGAGUGGUAUACCCAGAAUUUAAGAUUGGUCAGACCAAGAAUGGGAGGCUCUGUAUCGUAAAUGAGAAGGAAUGCACACUUUCUGUUUGGAUCUUGACAGACAGUGAUGACGGCGUCCAGCGAUUUGUGCUGCACAAUACGUUUCCGUUGCACUCUAGCUUUAUGGAGGUCACCAACUGUUCAGUGGAAGAUACAAUCUCAGUGCGGCUUAUGACGGUUUUCAGUGGUUUUGUCUACCUUUCUAUUUCCCCCUGGAAGAAUUCCAUGGAUCAGUACAAAUCCCCUGAGUGGUUCCUGUCCUUCUCUCUGGAAACAGCGGAGCUGAACCAGCAUUUUAAGAACAGAGAGCAACUUCCAUGCCCUGUCCAUCCCUACUUGGCCUGGCCUCCUUUGGUAUGCAGCAUGGUGGAUUCAGAAUCUGAAGUUACUGGAAACAUUUUGGGGGAUGUUGGUCCUGAGGGCACAGAAACGGCUUCAUCUGUCCUCAUAACAGCAUUACGCUCAUUCAAAGAAGCUUUGAUUAAGGAUGGGGAAGCAAAUGUUGCAGAGAUAGAUGCCUUCCUACUUUGUGUUGACGCUGAGGAUGAGAAGAACUCUCUUGUGAGUAAAAUCACUGCUUUAGAUGAACUGUUGAUAGCUGUGAGAGAUCGUGUCUUGAGGGUUGGUGCAGACUCUGAAUUCUACGGACAGAAGACAGAAACAGAGAGCUGGUGGGAAAUGUGCAAAGGGAAGUUACGGAGAGCUUUCUUCUUCGCUAGCUGA
rnacentral:rRNA from 1 species